UACGUAGGUGACCAGCGUUGUCCGGAUUUACUGGGCGUAAAGAGUGCGCAGGCGGUAGUUCAAGUCGGGUGUGAAAUCCCCGGGCUUAACCCGGGAACUGCAUUCGAGACUGCAUAGCUAGAGUAUGGGAGAGGGAAGUGGAAUUUCAGGUGUAGCGGUGAAAUGCGUAGAUAUCUGAAGGAACAUCAGUGGCGAAAGCGACUUCCUGGACCAAUACUGACGCUCAGGUGCGAAAGCGUGGGGAGCAAACAGG
rnacentral:rRNA from 1 species